GAUGAAGAACGUAGCGAAAUGCGAUAAGUAAUGUGAAUUGCAGAAUUCAGUGAAUCAUCGAAUCUUUGAACGCACAUUGCGCCCGCCAGUAUUCUGGCGGGCAUGCCUGUUCGAGCGUCUUUUCAACCAUCAAGCCCCAGGCUUGUGUUGGGGACCUGCGGCUGCCGCAGGCCCUGAAAACCAGUGGCGGGCUCGCUGUCACACCGGGCGUAGUAGAUUUUAUCUCGCUCAGGGCGUGCUGCGGGUUCCGGCCGUUAAAAAGCCUUUUUUACCCAAGGUUGACCUCGGAUCAGGUAGGAAGACCCGCUGAACUUAAGCAUAUCAAUAAGCGGAGGA
rnacentral:misc_RNA from 1 species